ACAAGGGGAUGAGCCACAGUAUUCUGGUUCUGAAACUCAGCUGACACCUUUAUAAUUGGCAUCACAAGACCAAAGAACAGUUUCAUCUGACGUGUCUCUUGACUUACCUAGCACCACUGAACACAAGGUAUUUCUGUCUUGGCGCGGCGCACUUCGAUUCAUCUUAGCAGCAUACUAAGAAGUUGCCUGGUCCAAUACAAGAUACGGGAUAGGUAUUUCUGUCUUGGCGCGGCGCACUUCGAUUCAUCUUAGCAGCAUACUAAGAAGUUGCUUGGUCCAAUACAAGAUACAGGAUAGGUCAGUGAUGGUUAUAGAAGCAGUCAGGAGUGAAUUGUGCACUGGAAAAACAUUCUAGAGUGGAAUAAAAAACUUGGGUCAGCUUUUUGUGAAAAGUGAAAAAAGUGACUUUCCGAAUGUUGAUUUUUUUGCAUAAUCUGGAGUUGU